rnacentral:rRNA from 1 species
UGCUUACCAUGCAGUCGAACGAUGAUCCCAGCUUGCUGGGGGAUUAGUGGCGAACGGGUGAGUAACACGUGAGUAACCUGCCCUUGACUCUGGGAUAAGCCUGGGAAACUGGGCCUAAUACCGGAUAUGACUCCUCAUCGCAUGGUGGGGGGUGGAAAGCUUUUGUGGUUUUGGAUGGACUCGCGGCCUAUCAGCUUGUUGGUGGGGUAAUGGCCUACCAAGGCGACGACGGGUAGCCGGCCUGAGAGGGUGACCGGCCACACUGGGACUGAGACACGGCCCAGACUCCUACGGGAGGCAGCAGUGGGGAAUAUUGCACAAUGGGCGAAAGCCUGAUGCAGCGACGCCGCGUGAGGGAUGACGGCCUUCGGGUUGUAAACCUCUUUCAGUAGGGAAGAAGCGAAAGUGACGGUACCUGCAGAAGAAGCGCCGGCUAACUACGUGCCAGCAGCCGCGGUAAUACGUAGGGCGCAAGCGUUAUCCGGAAUUAUUGGGCGUAAAGAGCUCGUAGGCGGUUUGUCGCGUCUGCUGUGAAAGACCGGGGCUCAACUCCGGUUCUGCAGUGGGUACGGGCAGACUAGAGUGCAGUAGGGGAGACUGGAAUUCCUGGUGUAGCGGUGAAAUGCGCAGAUAUCAGGAGGAACACCGAUGGCGAAGGCAGGUCUCUGGGCUGUAACUGACGCUGAGGAGCGAAAGCAUGGGGAGCGAACAGGAUUAGAUACCCUGGUAGUCCAUGCCGUAAACGUUGGGCACUAGGUGUGGGGGACAUUCCACGUUUUCCGCGCCGUAGCUAACGCAUUAAGUGCCCCGCCUGGGGAGUACGGCCGCAAGGCUAAAACUCAAAGGAAUUGACGGGGGCCCGCACAAGCGGCGGAGCAUGCGGAUUAAUUCGAUGCAACGCGAAGAACCUUACCAAGGCUUGACAUGAACCGGAAA